rnacentral:rRNA from 1 species
UGGAACGAAUCUUCGGAGGAGGGAAAUGGUGACUGAGUGGUGGACGGGUGAGUAACGCGUGGGUAACCUGCCUCGUACAGGGGGACAACAGUUGGAAACGACUGCUAAUACCGCAUAAGCGCACGAUACUGCAUGGUAUUGUGUGAAAAACUGAGGUGGUACGAGAUGGACCCGCGUCUGAUUAGCUGGUUGGUGGGGUAACGGCCUACCAAGGCGACGAUCAGUAGCCGACCUGAGAGGGUGACCGGCCACAUUGGGACUGAGACACGGCCCAAACUCCUACGGGAGGCAGCAGUGGGGAAUAUUGCACAAUGGGGGAAACCCUGAUGCAGCGACGCCGCGUGAAGGAAGAAGUAUUUCGGUAUGUAAACUUCUAUCAGCAGGGAAGAAAAUGACGGUACCUGAGUAAGAAGCCCCGGCUAACUACGUGCCAGCAGCCGCGGUAAUACGUAGGGGGCAAGCGUUAUCCGGAUUUACUGGGUGUAAAGGGAGCGUAGACGGUAAUGUAAGUCUGAUGUGAAAGCCCGGGGCUCAACCCCGGGACUGCAUUGGAAACUAUGUAACUAGAGUACCGGAGAGGUAAGCGGAAUUCCUAGUGUAGCGGUGAAAUGCGUAGAUAUUAGGAGGAACACCAGUGGCGAAGGCGGCUUACUGGACGGAAACUGACGUUGAGGCUCGAAAGCGUGGGGAGCAAACAGGAUUAGAUACCCUGGUAGUCCACGCCGUAAACGAUGACUACUAGGUGUCGG